UGCAAGUCGAGCGCAUCCUUCGGGAUGAGCGGCGGACGGGUGAGUAACGCGUGGGAAGGUGCCCUUCUCUACGGAAUAGCCACUGGAAACGGUGAGUAAUACCGUAUACGCCCUCAGGGGGAAAGAUUUAUCGGAGAAGGAUCAGCCCGCGUUAGAUUAGGUAGUUGGUGGGGUAAUGGCCUACCAAGCCUACGAUCUAUAGCUGGUUUUAGAGGAUGAUCAGCCACACUGGGACUGAGACACGGCCCAGACUCCUACGGGAGGCAGCAGUAGGGAAUCUUGGACAAUGGGGGAGACCCUGAUCCAGCCAUGCCGCGUGAGUGAAGAAGGCCCUAGGGUCGUAAAGCUCUUUCGCCUGUGAUGAUAAUGACAGUAGCAGGUAAAGAAACCCCGGCUAACUCCGUGCCAGCAGCCGCGGUAAUACGGAGGGGGUUAGCGUUGUUCGGAAUUACUGGGCGUAAAGCGCGCGUAGGCGGAUUGGAAAGUUGGGGGUGAAAUCCCGGGGCUCAACCCCGGAACUGCCUUCAAAACUCCCAGUCUAGAGUUCGAGAGAGGUGAGUGGAAUUCCGAGUGUAGAGGUGAAAUUCGUAGAUAUUCGGAA
rnacentral:rRNA from 1 species